rnacentral:rRNA from 1 species
GUAGGGAAUAUUGGGCAAUGGAUGCAAGUCUGACCCAGCCAUCCCGCGUGCCGGAAGAAGGCCCUCAGGGUUGUAAACGGCUUUUGACGGUGAAGAAUCGACAGGAUGCGUCCUGUUUUGACGGUAGCCGUUGAAUAAGCACCGGCUAACUCCGUGCCAGCAGCCGCGGUAAUACGGAGGGUGCGAGCGUUGUCCGGAUUUAUUGGGUUUAAAGGGUGCGUAGGCUGGAAGGUCAGUCAGCGGUGAAAAGCUGUCGCUUAACGAUAGUCUUGCCGCAGAUACUUCCUUUCUUGGAUGAGGAGGAGGCCACUGGAACGGAUGGUGUAGCGGUGAAAUGCAUAGAUAUCAUCCAGAACACCGAUUGCGAAGGCAGGUGGCUGUACCUUAAUCGACGCUGAUGCACGAAAGCAUGGGGAGCAAACAGGAUUAGAAACCCGAGUAUCC